rnacentral:rRNA from 1 species
UAGUGAACCAGUACCGUGAGGGAAAGGCGAAAAGAACCCCGGCGAGGGGAGUGAAAAAGAACCUGAAACCGUGUACGUACAAGCAGUGGGAGCACGCUUAGGCGUGUGACUGCGUACCUUUUGUAUAAUGGGUCAGCGACUUAUAUUCUGUAGCAAGGUUAACCGAAUAGGGGAGCCGAAGGGAAACCGAGUCUUAACUGGGCGUUAAGUUGCAGGGUAUAGACCCGAAACCCGGUGAUCUAGCCAUGGGCAGGUUGAAGGUUGGGUAACACUAACUGGAGGACCGAACCGACUAAUGUUGAAAAAUUAGCGGAUGACUUGUGGCUGGGGGUGAAAGGCCAAUCAAACCGGGAGAUAGCUGGUUCUCCCCGAAAGCUAUUUAGGUAGCGCCUCGUGAAUUCAUCUCCGGGGGUAGAGCACUGUUUCGGCAAGGGGGUCAUCCCGACUUACCAACCCGAUGCAAACUGCGAAUACCGGAGAAUGUUAUCACGGGAGACACACGGCGGGUGCUAACGUCCGUCGUGAAGAGGGAAACAACCCAGACCGCCAGCUAAGGUCCCAAAGUCAUGGUUAAGUGGGAAACGAUGUGGGAAGGCCCAGACAGCCAGGAUGUUGGCUUAGAAGCAGCCAUCAUUUAAAGAAAGCGUAAUAGCUCACUGGUCGAGUCGGCCUGCGCGGAAGAUGUAACGGGGCUAAACCAUGCAC